rnacentral:rRNA from 1 species
GAGGAAGCCCCGGCUAACUACCUGCCAACAGCCGCGGUAAGACAUAGGGGGCGAGCGUUGUCCGGAAUUACUGGGCGUAAAGGGCGUGUAGGCGGCCUGUCAAGUCAGCUGUGAAAUUCCUCGGCUCAACCGGGGCAUUGCGGUUGAAACUGGUAGACUUGAGUGCAGAAGAGGAGGGUGGAAUUCCCAGUGUAGCGGUGAAAUGCGUAUAUAUUGGGAGGAACACCAGUGGCGAAAGCGGCCUUCUGGUCUGUAACUGACGCUGAGGCGCGAAAGCCAGGGGAGCAAACAGGAUUAGAUACCCUGGUAGUCCUGGCUGUAAACGCUGGGUACUAGGUGUAGGGGGUUUAGACGCCCUCUGUGCCGUAGUUAACGCAUUAAGUACCCCGCCGGGGGAGUACGAUCGCAAGGUUGAAACUCAGAGGAAUUGACGG